UAUUUAGGUUGACUGACUGAGUGCCAGCAGCCGCGGGUGGGGCAGAUGAUUGGGGUGAAGUCGUAACAAGGUAACCUCAGUCAGUCAAGUCGUAACAAGGUAACCUCAGUCAGUCAAGUCUGUAACAAGCGUAACCUCAGUCAGUCAAGUUGUAACGAAGUGUCAGCCUUAGUCAGUCAGUCCAGUCGUAACAAGGGAGCCUCAGUCAGUCAAAUCCCGCGGUCCAUGGCGAGCCGGGCAGCAAGCGUACGACGGGCCC
rnacentral:rRNA from 1 species